UACGAGGGGGGCAAGCGUUGUUCGGAAUUAUUGGGCGUAAAGGGCGCGUAGGCGGUGCGGUAAGUCACCUGUGAAAACUCUGGGCUCAACUCAGAGCCUGCAGGCGAAACUGCCGUGCUGGAGUGUGGGAGAGGUGCGUGGAAUUCCCGGUGGUAGCGGUGAAAUGCGUAGAUAUCGGGAGGAACACCUGUGGCGAAGGCGGCGACCUGGUCCGAUACUGAC
rnacentral:rRNA from 1 species